rnacentral:rRNA from 1 species
ACGCGAAAGCCCCUUCGGGGGUAAGUAGAGUGGCGUCCGGAUGAGUAACACGUGGGUAAUCUGCCUUCGGGUGGGGAAUAACCCAGGGAAACUUGGGCUAAUACCGCAUAAUGCAGCGGCACCUAAUGGUGAUUAGUUGUUAAAGCGGGGGAUCGCAAGACCUCGCGCCUGAAGAGGAGCCUGCGGCAGAUUAGCUAGUUGGUGAGGUAAUGGCUCACCAAGGCAUCGAUCUGUAGCUGGUCUGAGAGGACGGCCAGCCACACUGGCACUGACACACGGGCCAGACUCCUACGGGAGGCAGCAGUGGGGAAUUUUGGGCAAUGGGCGCAAGCCUGACCCAGCAACGCCGCGUGAGGGAGGAAAUCCUUCGGGAUGUAAACCUCACAAGCAAGGGAAGAGCGCUUUCGGUCAAACAAAUCGAAAGUUCGACGGUACCUUGCGUAAGCCACGGCUAACUACGUGCCAGCAGCCGCGGUAAUACGUAGGUGGCAAGCGUUGUUCGGAAUUAUUGGGCGUAAAGGGCGCGUAGGCGGCUUGUUAAGUCGGCUGUGAAAGCCCGGGGCUCAACCCCGGAGGGUCAGCCGAUACUGGCAGGCUAGAGUACGGAAGAGGUAGCUGGAAUUCCCGGUGUAGCGGUGAAAUGCGUAAAUUUCGGGAGGAACACCUGAGGCGAAGGCGGGCUACUGGGGCCGAUACUGACGCUGAUGUGCGAAAGCCAGGGGAGCGAAACGGGAUUAAAUACCCCGGUAGUCCUGGCCCUAAACGAUGGACACUUGGUGUGUCGG